rnacentral:sRNA from 1 species
GCUGGGCACAGAGGUGCACACCUUUAAUCCCAGCAACUUGGGAGGCUGAGGCAGGAGAAUUGCAAGUUCAUAGCCAGCCUCAGUGGCUUAGCGAGGCCCUAAGCAAUUUUGUGAGACUCUGUCUCAA